rfam:Pseudomonas aeruginosa PAO1, complete genome.
GGCGGGCCUGCAAGUCCCGAGGCAGUCGAUCAUCGCAUGCUGCCUUGGGGAGCUUCCUUCCCGCC